UACGGAGGGGGCUAGCGUUGUUCGGAAUUACUGGGCGUAAAGAGCUCGUAGGCGGUCUGUUGCGUCCGCUGUGAAAACUCGGGGCUUAACCCCGAGCCUGCAGUGGAUACGGGCAGACUAGAGGUAGGUAGGGGAGAAUGGAAUUCCCGGUGUAGCGGUGAAAUGCGCAGAUAUCGGGAGGAACACCGGUGGCGAAGGCGGUUCUCUGGGCCUUACCUGACGCUGAGACGCGAAAGCGUGGGGAGCGAACAGG
rnacentral:rRNA from 1 species